GUAUUAACUGGUGUCUAGGAUGGGUCUCUCUCUUAUGGAAAAAGGAGUAAAGCCCCACCCUUUCCUUUUGGGAGGAGGUCUUAGGUUGCAGCUUGUGGGUGAGGGGCAUUGAAGAGGAAAGAAAUGUUGCUGGUAUGAUGAGUAAAACCUCAGAACACAUUUCUUAUAGCAACAGAAUUAUAAACAAGAGUUGGUUGUAGUUAAAAUACUACUGGUAUCUCUCCAAGUAGUUAGGGAUCAAAUAAGAUUUUAUGGAUCAGUCUGGAAAUCCAACCAGCAUCUUAGGUGAAAGGAUCCUGAUUCUAAACUUUUAGACACUAUCUCACAUGCACUGAGAGCUGUAUCUAGUGUUCUCCCAUUUCCUCUCUCUGUGCUUCUCAGGGCCACUUAGACUUCCUUCAUCCCCAGAAUCAAAGGGACCAGAAACUUAGAAGAUGUCACAAUUUUAUCUGCUACUGACCCUGCAGGCAGGGCUGCCUGGUGGUGAAACAAUAUGGUAUGUAACAGAGUCGAGACAGGUUUGUGUAGGAUGGAUGCAGGCUCCAACCCUGUGCUGCACUGCCUGGCUGCCCGAUCUCCCUCAACGAGCCUCAGUUUUUCACCUGUAAAGUGGGGAUAAUGCGUCCACAUCUCAGGAUCAUUGUGAAGAGUGAGGACAUCACAUAUAAAAAAACUGGCCCACAGAAAGCAUGGAGUAAAUGCCAGCUGUUACAGCAGCUUCUGUAGGAAGGCAGAGCCUGCCUUGCAGCCACUCCACUGGCAAACGUGUCAAUAGGAAGAGUGAGAAGUGAGCAGUGCCUCCUGAGCUGAUGCCUACAGAGGAGCUGUGACAAUCUGCCUCUAGAACAACCUCAGCAAGCUGCCUGGCCCAGGGGAAAUCCAACCGUGGUGACUUUGCCCAGAUUCUGCAAGAUGCUUUCUAAUUGUUGGUGUUCACGAGGGACAAGCAACAGCUGAGCUCAUUCCCUUCCUAUCAAUUUGCAACAUCUGCCCCAGCCCUUACUGACAGUAGAGAAAAAUAAGGACUUUCCGAUCACACCUUUAGGCCACCAAUCUUCAAUGAGUUACUGGGCCCUUCCAGAAAUCAGAUUUUCUAACUGGUCCCUGCAUUGGCUCCAGCAGCUUUGGAGUGUGAGUGCUGUCUCUUUGGAGAGAUUGUGGGCUCCUUGAGGGCUCUGCCUUUUUGUUCUGUGUAGCCCCAGCACAUAGUAGGGGAAGUCACACAGGAAAUCCAAAAGCAUGGGAAGACCCUGGGCCGAGGGAGCAGAGGCUGAAACUCUGGGAAAAGCUGUGAGGACCACAAAAGUGGUUGGGCCCCUAAUGGCCUCAAGACCCGGGGUACAACAAACCCCACAGGAGGCCCAAUGACACCCCCUGUCCUAACUCAGCUCAGGAAGAGGCAGCUGCCAUGGUUUAAAGAAUGUGGGUUUUUAGGGUAGAUAGACCCCACAUCUGCUCCAUACCUUGCUGCAUGAGUUAUUUCCCUUCUCUGAGCCUUAGUUUCCUCAUUACAAAAAUGUAAAUAAAAAUAUCUUCUUUACAUGAUCA
ensembl:lncRNA novel transcript